rnacentral:lncRNA from 1 species
UUUUUCUUGUCCAUAGAAAGAUAUAUCUAUACUAUGUGUAUCAGUUCAUGAUAUAAGUUUUCAUCAGUUCAUAAUUCUAUCAUCUUAUGGUAGAUAAAUAUACUAGUUUGUAUCUUCAUUAGUUUCAGUCACCCCGCAACCCAGCCGGCAACUCCGCCAUCUCCCCGUGCCGGAUCGAGCUCCAGAUCAGUGCCCCCAUCUACACUUGUAUGUUUUUUUCAUUUCACACUGUAGUUAGUUUUUCAGUACACAUUGUCGGGUUUUUUUCCAGUUCAAUGGAUUCCAAAAAGAAACAACCGCAGCUGGGUGCGAAUUCAUUAGUUUACAUCUCUUCUCACACUUUGCUGCAUGGGGCAAAGAGUUGUACUGUGUUGAUUCAGCUUCUGUACUUUUUCUAGUUUCAGACAUUUGGUACCACUUGUCAACUAGAUAUGUUAAUACAUGUGCCAAAAGUGGCUAAGCUGCCUGUCCAAACUAAGUACAGUUUGACAACAAAUAACUGCAGUAUUUUAUCAGUACAUGUCCAUUAGCAAAAAUUCAUGUUACAAAUGUUUUCAUACUUCCAUUUUACAAAAAAAAUAGAUGGCAUUUGUCGCUCCAAUUAUGGAGAAAAUGCAGUGAAAUAAAUAAAGUGUCCUCUCAAAAGUUCAUAUAUACUUGCAGAAAACAUGAUGCUCUUUAGGUGCUUGUUGUUAAUGCAGAAAACAGUUUUCAAUACCGAAGAAUAGCCUUAGCGAGAAGUUCAUGUUCAGAAAGUUGGUAGGUUCAUACAGAGAAACUUAAACAAAUAUUAUCCAUUUUAGUAUUGAUCUAGUAUCAUAUAUGCGUCAGUUCUAAAUACUUUGUUCAUUGUGAUCAGAGAUAAUACAAAAAGCAUAUCCUUCAAUUCUGCAGAUAUUUUACAACUUUCCGGCAAGUGUAGAAGUUCAUGUUGAUUACUCCCGGCAAGUGUAGAAGUUUGCCAAUAUACAAUCUAUAAGUUCACUAUCCAGUAGAUUAGUUUAGUAGUUGGUACUAACUACUCCACUUUUUUAUUUGAUGUACAUGUGGUGUCUAGUUUCUUCCGUUAGUUCAAUUUCUAAAUUUCAUCCAGUUCAAUUCAUAUUGUAGCUCCAAUUUAGUCCACAUGGUUAAUUGUUGGCUGGUGUGUGUGCAGGGUACCGUGACAUUGAGUAGGCGUGAAGUGUAUCACUCUAGCACGCCAAGUUCCAGUGCAUGUCAACGUCUUCUCCACUGCAAUGGAAGCUCCUCUGUUCGAGUUGAGCACUGGUCAUCGUCCAAGUUGAGCACUAGGUGCCGUCCAAGUUCAAAGAGGGUUGUAUGAAAGUACAUAACUUUGUUUUAGUGAGAAAAAUGUGGGGUUUUGACAAUAUUCUGUAUGAUUCAUUUAUUCAACCUUAGAACUUGGCGAUAUUCAGUCUAUUUUUCUAUGAUGAAGGCACACAUGAAAGUCCUGCACAAUGGUUAUCCCCCUAGUGCUUCAAAGAUUCAUAUUUUGUUUCUUCAAAUGUGGUGUGCGCCUGUUUGAUGAGGUAAAAGAAAGUAAAAUAGUGAAAAUGUCAUUAAAGACACUUGGAAGUACAAAUGUAGAAAGUAAAUAAGUUCUGAUUCUUGUUAGGUAGGAAGUUUGGAGAAAAAAACACAAGUUUUUAAAAGAAGAAAAUGGUAAAAAUGUAAGUCCAUUCAACUAUAUAAACCAUAAAGGUACGAUGGUGAUGACACCGUGAGUAAGGAUAAGGAUGGGAAACAAGAUUAAAAAUUAAAACCAAA